rfam:Candidate divison MSBL1 archaeon SCGC-AAA259B11 AAA259B11_Contig_67, whole genome shotgun sequence.
GGGCCCGUGGCUCAACCUGGCUAGAGCGUCCGACGGCUUGGACCAGCCAAGUCGGGCGAAGCUCUUAACCGGACGGUUGUGGGUUCAAAUCCCACCGGGCCCG